rnacentral:rRNA from 1 species
GACGAACGCUGGCGGCGUGCUUAACACAUGCAAGUCGAACGGAAAGGCCCUGCUUUUGUGGGGUGCUCGAGUGGCGAACGGGUGAGUAACACGUGAGUAACCUGCCCUUGACUUUGGGAUAACUUCUGGAAACUGGGGCUAAUACCGGAUAGGAGCUCCUGCUGCAUGGUGGGGGUUGGAAAGUUUCGGCGGUUGGGGAUGGACUCGCGGCUUAUCAGCUUGUUGGUGGGGUAGUGGCUUACCAAGGCUUUGACGGGUAGCCGGCCUGAGAGGGUGACCGGCCACAUUGGGACUGAGAUACGGCCCAGACUCCUACGGGAGGCAGCAGUGGGGAAUAUUGCACAAUGGGCGGAAGCCUGAUGCAGCAACGCCGCGUGCGGGAUGACGGCCUUCGGGUUGUAAACCGCUUUCGCCUGUGACGAAGCGUGAGUGACGGUAAUGGGUAAAGAAGCACCGGCUAACUACGUGCCAGCAGCCGCGGUGAUACGUAGGGUGCGAGCGUUGUCCGGAUUUAUUGGGCGUAAAGGGCUCGUAGGUGGUUGAUCGCGUCGGAAGUGUAAUCUUGGGGCUUAACCCUGAGCGUGCUUUCGAUACGGGUUGACUUGAGGAAGGUAGGGGAGAAUGGAAUUCCUGGUGGAGCGGUGGAAUGCGCAGAUAUCAGGAGGAACACCAGUGGCGAAGGCGGUUCUCUGGGCCUUUCCUGACGCUGAGGAGCGAAAGCGUGGGGAGCGAACAGGCUUAGAUACCCUGGUAGUCCACGCUGUAAACGGUGGGUACUAGGUGUGGGGUCCAUUCCACGGGUUCCGUGCCGUAGCUAACGCUUUAAGUACCCCGCCUGGGGAGUACGGCCGCAAGGCUAAAACUCAAAGGAAUUGACGGGGCCCCGCACAAGCGGCGGAGCAUGCGGAUUAAUUCGAUGCAACGCGUAGAACCUUACCUGGGUUUGACAUGGAUCGGGAGUGCUCAGAGAUGGGUGUGCCUCUUUUGGGGUCGGUUCACAGGUGGUGCAUGGCUGUUGUCAGCUCGUGUCGUGAGAUGUUGGGUUAAGUCCCGCAACGAGCGCAACCCUUGUUCACUGUUGCCAGCACGUUAUGGUGGGGACUCAGUGGAGACCGCCGGGGUCAACUCGGAGGAAGGUGGGGAUGACGUCAAGUCAUCAUGCCCCUUAUGUCCAGGGCUUCACGCAUGCUACAAUGGCUGGUACAGAGAGUGGCGAGCCUGUGAGGGUGAGCGAAUCUCGGAAAGCCGGUCUCAGUUCGGAUUGGGGUCUGCAACUCGACCUCAUGAAGUCGGAGUCGCUAGUAAUCGCAGAUCAGCAACGCUGCGGUGAAUACGUUCCCGGGGCU